GACGAACGCUGGCGGCGUGCUUAACACAUGCAAGUCGAACGGUAAGGCUCCAGCUUGCUGGGGUACACGAGUGGCGAACGGGUGAGUAACACGUGGGUGACCUGCCCUGCACUUCGGGAUAAGCCUGGGAAACUGGGUCUAAUACCGGAUAGGACCGCACCGUGAGGGUGUGGUGGAAAGUUUUUUCGGUGUGGGAUGGGCCCGCGGCCUAUCAGCUUGUUGGUGGGGUAAUGGCCUACCAAGGCGGCGACGGGUAGCCGGCCUGAGAGGGUGGACGGCCACAUUGGGACUGAGACACGGCCCAGACUCCUACGGGAGGCAGCAGUGGGGAAUAUUGCACAAUGGGCGGAAGCCUGAUGCAGCGACGCCGCGUGGGGGAUGACGGCCUUCGGGUUGUAAACUCCUUUCACCAUCGACGAAGGGUUUCUGACGGUAGAUGGAGAAGAAGCACCGGCUAACUACGUGCCAGCAGCCGCGGUAAUACGUAGGGUGCGAGCGUUGUCCGGAAUUACUGGGCGUAAAGAGCUCGUAGGUGGUUUGUCGCGUCGUCUGUGAAAUUCCGGGGCUUAACUCCGGGCGUGCAGGCGAUACGGGCAUAACUUGAGUACUGUAGGGGAGACUGGAAUUCCUGGUGUAGCGGUGAAACGCGCAGAUAUCAGGAGGAACACCGGUGGCGAAGGCGGGUCUCUGGGCAGUAACUGACGCUGAGGAGCGAAAGCAUGGGGAGCGAACAGGAUUAGAUACCCUGGUAGUCCAUGCCGUAAACGGUGGGCGCUAGGUGUGGGUUUCCUUCCACGGGAUCCGUGCCGUAGCUAACGCAUUAAGCGCCCCGCCUGGGGAGUACGGCCGCAAGGCUAAAACUCAAAGGAAUUGACGGGGGCCCGCACAAGCGGCGGAGCAUGUGGAUUAAUUCGAUGCAACGCGAAGAACCUUACCUGGGCUUGACAUAUACAGGAUCGCGCCAGAGAUGGUGUUCCCCUUGUGGCUUGUAUACAGGUGGUGCAUGGUUGUCGUCAGCUCGUGUCGUGAGAUGUUGGGUUAAGUCCCGCAACGAGCGCAACCCUUGUCUUAUGUUGCCAGCACGUUAUGGUGGGGACUCGUAAGAAACUGCCGGGGUUAACUCGGAGGAAGGUGGGGAUGACGUCAAAUCAUCAUGCCCCUUAUGUCCAGGGCUUCACACAUGCUACAAUGGUCGGUACAGUGGGUUGCCAGUCCGUGAGGGCGAGCUAAUCCCGCAAAGCCGGUCUCAGUUCGGAUCGGGGUCUGCAACUCGACCCCGUGAAGUCGGAGCCGCCUGCAAUCCCAAAUCAGCAACGUUGCGGUGGAUACCUCCCCGGGUCU
rnacentral:rRNA from 1 species